GAAGCAUGCUAUUCUUGAAGAUUAAGCCAUGUAUGUGCCAAGUUCAAACAAUAUUAUUGUGAGACUGCGAACGGCUCAGUAAAUCAGUGAUUAUCUGUUUGAUUGUAUCUCCCAAUGGAUAACCGUGGGAAAUCUAGAGCUAAUACAUGCAGUUUAUUGGUGCGGGUUCUUGGAUUCGUAUCAAAGCAUUUAUUAGACUAUACCAACUAUUACAUGGGUAACUGUGUAGUAAGGCGAAUCUAGAUAACUUUGCUGAUCGUAUGGCCUUGCGCCGACGACGUUUCAAUUGAGUUUCUGCCCUAUCAACUUGUUGGUAAGGUAUUGGCUUACCAAGGUUGCAACGGGUAACGGGGAAUCAGGGUUCGAUUCCGGAGAGGGAGCCUGAGAAACGGCUACCACGUUUAAGGAAGGCAACAGGCGCGCAAAUUACCCAAUCUAGACAGUAGGAGGUGGUGAAGAGAAGUACUAAGUAGUGGUCCAAUGGAUUACUAGCUUGGAAUGAACGUAAUUUAAGAAAUUCGAUGAGUAACUACUGGAGGGCAAGUCCUGGUGCCAGCAGCCGCGGUAAUUCCAGCUCCAGUUGUGUGCUUUAAAGUUGUUGCGUUUAAAACGCUCGUAGUUGGAUAACGCAGUGUCAAUCGGUUAUCUAUGGUUCUACAAUAACUGUCGUUUCUCGUCCUUCUACGCAUGUAGUUGUCACUUGAUUCUGAUGGGUAGUCCUUAGAUGCAAACGCCGAAUGUCACUAUUUGCACGUAAGUAUGAUAGUUGACCUUAAAUGCGUUGAGUGUCAUGUCUUACGGAGUGUGCCUUGAAUAAAACAGAGUGCUUAAAGCAGGCAAAAGCUUGAAUGUUAUAGCAUGGAACGAACAAACGUGUGACAGUGCGUAUUUGGCAAUAGCGGUGAGCCUAUGGUUUAUUGCUGUUGUCGGUACGUACAGCACCUACCAAAAUAUAGAUGUUGGUUCUAUAUACGGUGAUGAUUAAAAGGAGCGGUUGGGGGCAUUGGUAUUUGGCCGCGAGAGGUGAAAUUCUUAGACCGGCCAAGGACUGACAAAUGCGAAGGCACUUGUCUAGACCGUAUCCAUUAAUCAAGAACGAAAGUGAGAGGUUCGAAGACGAUCAGAUACCGUCCUAGUUCUCACUGUAAACUAUGCCGACCUGGGAUCAGUUUGGAGAUAUUACAAGCUUCAGAUUGGUCCCCCUGGGAAACUCAAAGUUUUUCGGUUACGGGGAGAGUAUGGUCGCAAGGCUGAAACUUAAAGGAAUUGACGGAAGGGCACCACCAGGAGUGGAGCCUGCGGCUUAAUUUGACUCAACACGGGGAAACUUACCUGGUCCGGACAUCGAUAGGAUAGACAGACUGAUAGAUCUUUCUUGAUGCGAUGAGUGGUGGUGCAUGGCCGUUCUUAGUUCGUGGAGUGAUCUGUCAGGUUAAUUCCGGUAACGAACGAGACCACAUUCUCCAUUUAAGACAUGGUAGUAGGAAGACAAGCUUGUAGUUUCUUCGGGAGCAACAUUCUUGGCUUCUGUUGGCAGUUAUGGAGAUUUCUGAGAGUUUAGCAAAGGGAGCAAUCUUGAUGCGAAGGCUCUUGGGGAGAUCUGUAAUUCCCUACCAUUUAGCAGUGUCUGGCUUCGGUUGGAUGCUGUCUUAUGGAGAGACAAUGAGGUAUAUUUAAGCUCGAGGAAGAGUGGCUAUAACAGGUCAGUGAUGCCCUUCGAUGUUCAGGGCUGCACGCGCGCUACAAUGAUGACGACAGCAAGUAUCUGGGUUGAAAAACUUGGGUAAUCUCAAAUCGUCAUCGUGAUGGGGAUUAACCGUUGUAAUUAUCGGUUAUGAAAGAGGAAUUCCUAGUAUAUGUACUUUAUUAGAGUGCAUAGAUUUAGUCCCUGCCCUUUGUACACACCGCCCGUCGCUACUACCGAGUGAAUGGUGUCAUGAUGCCUUGGGACUGGACGUGGAAUGAACUCUCGGGUUUGCUCUACGCUGGGAUCAAUGUAAAAUGGCGCAAUUUCGAGGAAGUAAAAGU
rnacentral:rRNA from 1 species